AACGAACGCUGGCGGCAGGCUUAACACAUGCAAGUCGAGCGCCCCGCAAGGGGAGCGGCAGACGGGUGAGUAACGCGUGGGAACGUACCUUUUGGUUCGGAACAACUCCGGGAAACUGGAGCUAAUACCGGAUAAGCCCUAACGGGGAAAGAUUUAUCGCCGAAAGAUCGGCCCGCGUCUGAUUAGCUAGUUGGUGAGGUAACGGCUCACCAAGGCGACGAUCAGUAGCUGGACUGGGAGGAUGAGCCGCCACGCUGGGACUGCGACACGGCCCAGACUCCUACGGGAGGCAGCAGUGGGGAAUAUUGGACGCUGGGCGCAAGCCUGAUCCAGCCAUGCCGCGUGAGUGAUGCAGGCCUUAGGGUUGUAAAGCUCUUUUGUCCGGGAAGAUAAUGACUGUACCGGAAGAAUAAGCCCCGGCUAACUUCGUG
rnacentral:rRNA from 1 species